rnacentral:hammerhead_ribozyme from 1 species
UUACUAAUGAAGAGUCCCAAACUAGGACGAAACAGCUGUCCAGUAC